GGGAGCUGGUGUCACGGUAUAACGUUUCGGUCGUAGUCUGGUGCACUCAGUCCCCAGCCGCAGUGCAGGCUCUUCGCUCCAGACUCCGCGAGGUCGCUGGCUCGGAAGCCGCCCGAGGAGGCAUCGCUCAAUGCUUAAAGGAUGGCCUCAGAUCUAGAACAGCUAUGCUCUUAUGUUAAUGAGAAGAUUGAGAAUAUUAAGAAAAUUCUGUCGUUAAGAAAACUUGGCCAAGACCCUACCUUGAAGACCACCUUGAGUAAAAUAGGAGAUGAGAUCAUUACGGUCAAUGAGCUUCUAAAUCAAUUUGAAUUGGAAAUUCAGUAUCAAGAACAAACUAACAGUUCACUCAAGGAGCUCUGCAAAUCUCUUGAAGAAGAGUUUAAAGAUGUGGAACAUCUCAAAGAACACAUUCCUUCCCAUUUGCCUCAAGUGACAGUGACCCAGAGCUCGACUCAUAAGCCAGAUCUGGAUCCUAAAGAGUCAGUUAAAGCUGAGGAGCCUGUACUGCCAAAGAAGCCUCCCAAAGAGCAGAGAGUUAUUAAGGAAAUGCACUUUAUAACCACGGAUGAGUUCAGUGGCGUACCUGCGUAAGUACUGAGUGUAAAUUCUAAUACUCUGUUGUAGUGUGAUUUAUCCUGUGUGCCUGGCCCUUUAAAGGCUCUCCAGGUGCUAGUCAGCUGGCCCUUUAAGCGCUCUUAGCUGUUAGAACGACUUGUCCCUAUGACCUCAGUGUUGGUUGCCCCUUGGUUUGCUGGGAACAGAUCAGAUACUAAA
rnacentral:lncRNA from 1 species